rnacentral:lncRNA from 1 species
CCGGGAGAGCGGUCACGUGGGGGCGCGGCAGUCCGGCUCUGAGGCCGCCAUCUUGGCGGAAAGUUUAGGGGGAGAGAGAUUGGGGGCGCGGAAGGAGGAGAGGUUCCGGGGGUGGGGCAGCCAGUAGAGGAGGGGGCGAGGGGGUACCAGGCUACGGUGGGUGAGGACGAGGCGGACGAGGACAAGGAAGAAUCUACGGGAGUGCGGCCGUUUAGGGGAGCUCGUACCCUGUCCCCUCACCCCCUCACCUUAGCGACUGGAGACCGGAGCGGGGCGGGGGAACGUGGAGAGGGUCAGGGCAGGCGAGCCGCCCGGUGUCGGACUAGAGCGGAUCCUGGCUCCGGCCGCACACCGCUCGCAGGAACUUUGUGGCGACGCCUCAGGUGUGGGGUACAGCGGAGGCGUGCAUGUGGGGCGCGAGGGCGUCGCGGAGAGCGGCAGCUGCCCUGUCCGGCCCCCGCCGGAGUAGACCGGAGGAAACGAGGAAGGAGAAAGGCAGGUGCUUGCCUUCUUCCUGAUUCUGGAGAAAAAUGCCGGUCCGGAAGCAAGGUGAGAAUUUAUUUCGGAACUGUAGUGGGUAUCACUUGCUUUUCCGUUUAUCUGUUU